rnacentral:rRNA from 1 species
AGGACGAACGCUGGCGGCGUGCUUAACACAUGCAAGUCGAGCGGAAAGGCCCUUCGGGGUACUCGAGCGGCGAACGGGUGAGUAACACGUGAGCAACCUGCCCUUAGCUCUGGGAUAGCUCCGGGAAACCGGUGCUAAUACCGGAUGUCUUUCAAUGAUCGCAUGAUCGAUGAAAGAAUGUUUUUUCGCUUUGGGAGGGCUCGCGGUCCAUCAGCUUGUUGGCGGGUAACGGCCUACCAAGGCGACGACGGGUA